rnacentral:sRNA from 1 species
AUCUCCUCUUCGAUCGUCGGCUCCUUGCGGGUGUCCUGCGAGGGCGAUCCGAGU